rnacentral:rRNA from 1 species
UACGUAGGGUGCAAGCGUUGUCCGGAAUUAUUGGGCGUAAAGAGCUCGUAGGCGGUUUGUCGCGUCUGCUGUGAAAACUCGGGGCUUAACUCCGGGCCUGCAGUGGGUACGGGCAGACUAGAGUGCGGUAGGGGAGACUGGAAUUCCUGGUGUAGCGGUGAAAUGCGCAGAUAUCAGGAGGAACACCAGUGGCGAAGGCGGCUCUCUGGCCUGUAACUGACGCUGAGGCGCGAAAGCGUGGGGAGCAAACAGG